rnacentral:rRNA from 1 species
GACGAACGCUGGCGGCGUGCUUAACACAUGCAAGUCGAACGGAAAGGCCCUGCUUUUGUGGGGUGCUCGAGUGGCGAACGGGUGAGUAACACGUGAGUAACCUGCCCUUGACUUUGGGAUAACUUCAGGAAACUGGGGCUAAUACCGGAUAGGAGCUCCUGCUGCAUGGUGGGGGUUGGAAAGUUUCGGCGGUUGGGGAUGGACUCGCGGCUUAUCAGCUUGUUGGUGGGGUAGUGGCUUACCAAGGGUUUGACGGGUAGCCGGCCUGAGAGGGUGACCGGCCACAAUGGGACUGAGAUACGGCCCAGACUCCAACGGGAGGCAGCAGUGGGGAAUAUUGCGCAGUAGGCGGAAGCCUGAUGCGGCGACGCCGCGUGCGGGAUGACGGCCUUCGGGUUGUAAACCGCUUUGGCCUGUGACGAGGCGUGAGUGACGGUAAUGGGUAAAGAAGCCCCGGCUAACUACGUG